GUCUGGAUGGCCGAGGGGUCUAAGGCGCUGCAUUUAGGUUAGUCUCCCUUGGAGGCGUGGGUUCAAAUCCCACUUCUGACA
rnacentral:tRNA from 1 species